GGCAAAAUGAGUAGUUAUUUUUUAAAAAAAUAGUUAUUGAUCACGUUGUAUAACUAAAAUUCCACUAUCAGCCCACGUUCUGCCCAUUAAUUCUUAGAACUCUGUUAUAACUUAUAAUCUAGCAUUUUCUCUACCCUUCAUACCCAUCCACUCCAAUUUUGUGUCAACUGCGUACGACAAUACAUAGUAUCAGCCAAAUGGAAUUUCAUAAAACACUCGCAAAAUCUGGAAUACCCAAGAGGUGAAUCAAAAGCAAAGAGAAGGCUAUGUGCUUAUAUGUUCUAUUCUCAGGAUGAACAAUUGGACUAAACCGCCCACUCACCUGGCAAGAAGAAGACCAACUUGGUAGGUAUGAAACAAUAGAACUUCUGAUUUCAAAUUCAAAAUUUGUUUCGUUUUUCGUUCACCAUAACUUUAUUUUGAACAGUUUAUACAAUGGAUUGAUGGUCAGGGUGUGUGGAACAAUCGAAUCUAUUCUCCAGGGAUCUUUCUUUUAAAACUCUAUCUCUCAAACCAAACAUUUGAAUGAUUUUGCAGCAAAAAUGAAUUCAGAGUCGACGUGUAUUUCAUCGGAUUAGAUAGGGAUGAAGAAGAUUACUACUACUAAGCAAUUGAUUCAGAAAAUUUGAUGGAACACUAUCUCUCUCCAUCCAUUUUUAGUAAAUAUUUCAAAUAUGCUGCAGAAAUAGGUACUCAUUUUUUUAGACCAUUUCAGAUAUCUGGUUAGUUGUAUGCUGAAAAAGAAAUCCAUGAAUUUCUCCUCACAUCUUUGGAAGAAAAACUCCAUUUUUUUUUCUACCGAAGAGUUCUAGCCUUUGUUUCCUGCAUAUCCCUCUCUGGGUGCUUGGUGAUUUGGUAGUAUUUCUCAGGGUCCUUAAAACACUUAGCAAAUAUGCAAAAGAAGGAGGGGCAAAAGUAAAACAUGGAUCUCUAUAUCUUGAGGAAGUGCUCAACCACUAACAGGUCAGAUAAAUUGGUCAAUUCUCAACUUUUAAUGGGGACAAUAGAGUGUGAGGACAAUUGGAUGAUGGGGACAAUCUCAAGUUAUUCUCUUGAAUUUAAUAUAUGUACAUUUUCUUUAUGUUUCGCCUCU
rnacentral:lncRNA from 1 species